AGCUCCAAUAGCGUAUAUUUAAGUUGUUGCAGUUAAAAAGCUCGUAGUUGGAUUUCGGGUGGGUGUUAGCGGUCCGGCUCUGCUGUGUACUGCUAAUUCCUACCUUUCUGUCGGGGACGGGCUCUUGGACUUAACUGUCCGGGACUCGGAGUCGACGAGGUUACUUUGAGUAAAUUAGAGUGUUCAAAGCAGGCGUACGCUAUGAAUACAUUAGCAUGGAAUAACACGAUAGGACUCUGGCUUAUCUUGUUGGUCUGUAAGACCGGAGUAAUGAUUAAGAGGGACAGUCGGGGGCAUUCGUAUUUCAUUGUCAGAGGUGAAAUUCUUGGAUUUAUGAAAGACGAACUUCUGCGAAAGCAUUUGCCAAGGAUGUUUUCAUUA
rnacentral:rRNA from 1 species